UUUCUGUUCUCUUUCCUGUGCAGAUUUCUCAUUUUGGCAUUUUUCAGGAGGAAUCAGAACAGGAAUAUAAUUAAUAAUGAACUUAAAGUUGACAUUCAGUGAAUGAUUAUUAUUAACUGAGAUUUAACAUUUUUGAAACAUGUAUGCUUUAUGUACUUAUUAAAUUUUGUGGGGCUUUUCCUCUUGCUGUAGCCAACGAUGCCUGUUUUCUCUAUUUAAUGUUUUACUAUUUUUUCUUCCACUAGAUACUUGCCUUUGUGAUACUUGAUUACUUACAUUGAUUUCCUAGUAUUUAGUGUCCAAAUAUGUUGCUUCUUAAGCUGUAUUCUUGAACCUCUGCCAAGUUUGUGUUUUUCCCUGUAUUCUUUCUAAAUGUUUUUAAAGCUGUAACAGAUGAGUGGGCAGACACAGGGGUUUCAGUCACAGAAAAGAGGAUGCUGAGGAAACAGGUAUGGUCUAAAAAAAUCAUAAAACUCUGGUAGCUGAACAGUCAGCUACAGAAUGAUCACAGAGGUGAAACGGGAAGGCUUCGGACAGACCGUAUUUCUCCAGUUAUAAACCAGAACUGAGGGAAAUGCCAUAUCUGCCUGCGUGGAUGAUAUGCAGAUAAAUAAAAAACCAAUACAAAGCCUGUUGCUAGUGAGGGUGAAUGAGUGUGGGGGUGACUUGAGAUUGGCUACACCUGUGCUUGGGGUGAAAAACGAGCUGGGGCUGCUGGAGAGCUCAGUCUGGCGUGGGGCAGCCCCGGGUCAGGUCCCGUGCGGAGGAGUGCCGCCCUGGGAGGCUGUGGGACCAGCCCCGGGCCGGGAGAGAGCCCCUCGUGCUGCCCCUCUGAGGGGGAGCCUCGGGACGGGGUGUGCUGUGAGGGAGCUGAGGGCUGGGGAAGUACCUGCGAGGCGAAGGAGCCCGGCUCUCCCUCCGUGCCGGGCAAGGCGCCCUGAGGGGGCACCAGCCGUGCUGUGGUGGUGCAGGCCGGCGGCAGAGCUGCCCUGCUGCAGUGGCCGUAGCCAGAAAGGACACACUGGUACUGCUGCCUUGACCACUCUCCUGAAGGCUGAUGCUCUUGGCUGGAUGGAUUAAAUGCUCACAAUCAACUUAACCUCUGUGUGGAUGAAUGGUAGAAGGCCAUGAUAUCCAGCAGAGAGAAGCUGUGAUGUGAUACAGGUGUCUUUGAAUCCUGCAGGAACUGAGUGGCUUCUUGCAGCAAAAUAAGAGUGCAGAAAGCAUUGAACAACUGACCGCGGUGCAGUGUGGCCGAGAUCCCUGGACAAACAUACAGGAAGGCAAACGGUGAAGGCAGCAAUGUCUCACCUCAGGGGACUGGGAAAAGUAUGGUGAUAUCUGGGCACAGAGAACCCACAUCAGUUGGACUCUCCUCUGAAGCACGGGGGAAAGAAGAGACCACAUAAGCGUUGUUGGAGGGGAAAUCUGCUCUGAUGAACGAAGAGCUCUGAAUGGCAAGUUUGCUUCUCCUGGAAGGACGCUUUACCAGCCACACUGUUACUACUCCUGGGCACAUAAGACUUGAAAAUGGGGAACAGGGGCUUCACCUGGAGUAGCAGAUUCUGAAUGCUUGUCCGUGUAGGAUUGACUUGCAUAUGGCUACCCACUCCUGACUCCAAGCAGCCAUCAUGAGAUCUGCUGUGGGCUUAUAUCAUGUCUACUGGUUUAUGAUGUCCCAGAGCUAAGAAAAGGAUAGCUGAAACCAAGCAGACUAGUACUUGAACACAAACGAUCCUGCUGAGAGGCUGAGAAUCAGUGCUCAUCAUUUCCCCCUCACUGACACUUGAAUAUAUUUUCCCAGGAGAAAACAUUAAACAAAAAGAGAAAGAGAGAAAGGGAGAGAGAGAGGGAGAGGGAGAGUGACUGAGCUAGCUUUUCAAAGCCUAGUUCUCAACCUGCCCACAUCAAAAUAAGAGACAACUGGCCCUUUGAAGUCCAGGACACAGACUCCUCUACCAGCCCAUGUGGAAAUAAAAGAAUCCAGCUUUAUAAAUCACACAGAUUUCUCACCUUGCCCACAUCAA